CCUGAGGAAAGAAUUAUUUACCGUUUAUUAGGUAUGUGACCCUGGAAGAAAUAGUUCAUGAAACUCAAGAAGGAUACAGAGAAUACUUUGGCGUAGAAACAAAACAAGAGGAAAAUCAAAAGACAGAAAUAAAAGUCAACAGUAUCACACAUUGAGUUCAUAGAGAAAGAGGAUUGGAAAGAAGAUUUUGAAUUGGGAGUGGAUCCUGAAGGCAAGCCCCCCAAACUUCUGCCUGUAGGUCUCCAUCUCUGAAGCUGCUUUUUGGGACCAACCUACAACAGGGAGCUAGAGUUCAAGGAUAAAGAGGUCUCCCUCACAUCAUCUCCCACAUGCCUGCAAAAGACAUGAAGGCAUUCCUGGGAAGCCCCCAGCUAACA
ensembl:lncRNA